rnacentral:rRNA from 1 species
UGACUCUCGGCAACGGAUAUCUCGGCUCUCGCAUCGAUGAAGAACGUAGCGAAAUGCGAUACUUGGUGUGAAUUGCAGAAUCCCGUGAACCAUCGAGUCUUUGAACGCAAGUUGCGCCCGAAACCACUCGGUUGAGGGCACGUCUGCCUGGGCGUCACGCAUC